AUACGGAGGGGGUUAGCGUUGUUCGGAAUUACUGGGCGUAAAGCGCACGUAGGCGGACUGGAAAGUUGGGGGUGAAAUCCCGGGGCUCAACCCCGGAACUGCCUCCAAAACUUCCAAUCUAGAGAUCGAGAGAGGUGAGUGGAAUUCCAAGUGUAGAGGUGAAAUUCGUAGAUAUUUGGAGGAACACCGGUGGCGAAGGCGGCUCACUGGCUCGAUACUGACGCUGAGGUGCGAAAGCGUGGGGAGCAAACAGGAUUAGAAACCCUAGUAGUCC
rnacentral:rRNA from 1 species